UACGUAGGGGGCAAGCGUUGUCCGGAUUUAUUGGGCGUAAAGAGCGUGUAGGCGGCCAGGUAGGUCUGCUGUGAAAACUCGAGGCUUAACCUCGAGCUGUCGGCGGAAACCAUCUGGCUAGAGUCCGGAAGAGGAGAAUGGAAUUCCCGGUGUAGCGGUGAAAUGCGCAGAUAUCGGGAAGAACACCCGUGGCGAAGGCGGCAUUCUGGACCGAUAUUGACGCUGAGGAGCGAAAGCCAGGGGAGCAAACGGG
rnacentral:rRNA from 1 species